AUACGGAGGGUGCAAGCGUUACUCGGAAUCACUGGGCGUAAAGCGCGCGCAGGCGGCUUGGUAAGUUGGAUGUGAAAGCCUACGGCUCAACCGUAGAACUGCAUCCAAAACUGUCAAGCUAGAGUGUGGGAGAGGAAGAUGGAAUUAGUUGUGUAGGGGUAAAAUCCGUAGAGAUAACUAGGAAUACCAAAAGCGAAGGCAAUCUUCUGGAACACUACUGACGCUGAGACGCGAAAGCGUGGGUAGCAAACGGGAUUAGAAACCCUAGUAGUCC
rnacentral:rRNA from 1 species